AGAGUUUGAUCAUGGCUCAGAACGUACGCUGGCGGCACGCCUUAUACAUGCAAGUCGAACGAAGUAGCAAUACUUAGUGGCAGACGGGUGAGUAACAUGUAGGUAUCUUCCCUUUGGUGAGGAAUAACACGAGGAAACUUGUGCUAAUACCUCAUAAGUCUUUACGGAGAAAGCUUUAUGCGCCAAAGGAUGAGCCUGCACUUGAUUAGUUUGUUGGUGGGGUAAUGGCUUACCAAGACUUUGAUCAAUAGCUGAUCUGAGAGGAUGAUCAGCCACAUUGGGACUGAGACACGGCCCAAACUCCUACGGGAGGCAGCAGUAGGGAAUAUUGCACAAUGGAGGAAACUCUGAUGCAGCGAUGCCGCGUGAGUGAAGAAGGCCCUUGGGUUGUAAAGCUCUUUCGUCGGGGAAGAAAAUGACUGUACCCGAAUAAGAAGGUCCGGCUAACUUCGUGCCAGCAGCCGCGGUAAUACGAAGGGACCUAGCGUAGUUCGGAAUUACUGGGCUUAAAGAGUUCGUAGGUGGUUAAAAAAGUUGGUGGUGAAAUCCCAGAGCUUAACUCUGGAACUGCCAUCAAAACUUUUUAGCUAGAGUAUGAUAGAGGAAAGCAGAAUUUCUAGUGUAGAGGUGAAAUUCGUAGAUAUUAGAAAGAAUACCAAUUGCGAAGGCAGCUUUCUGGAUCAUUACUGACGCUGAGGAACGAAAGCAUGGGUAGCGAAGAGGAUUAGAUACCCUCGUAGUCCAUGCCGUAAACGAUGUGUGUUAGACGUUGGAAAUUUUUUUUCAGUGUCGCAGCGAAAGCAUUAAACACACCGCCUGGGGAGUACGACCGCAAGGUUAAAACUCAAAUGAAUUGACGGGGACCCGCACAAGUAGUGGAGCAUGUGGUUUAAUUCGAAGAUACGCGCAGAACCUUACCAACACUUGACAUGUUCGUCG
rnacentral:rRNA from 1 species